CGAGGGGAAAAGACCACGAUCACUCGCUCCACGACGACCGGAGCAAAGAGAAGAAGACGAGUUACGAGAGAAAGAGAGGGAGUCUUUAAAACCUGUCGAGCUGGUUUUUGCACACUGAUCGAAGAGGAUUUGUGUUCGGUGUUGCAAAGAGUUUAUACAAUGGUCCGACAAUCCGAUAAAAUCACACGAUUCAGUAUCGAAUAAUUGAUAAAAAAUUUUCUAAGAAUUUGAGCACAUCGAGCUAUUUUUAGUCCUCGAUCGUGCAAACCGGUGGUCAUUGAAGAGUGCAAAGAGAGCGAAGAUGGCAGAAGUGUGAAAGCUGAAGAAUCUCUUAUCUGUUAAAACAACAAUUGAGGUUUUCGAAAAUCUUUGAACUAACCCAGGACAACCGACGCUCGCGAGGGUUUCGAGCUGACUAAGACUGAACUUCUAGGGAUGAGAUUCUGUCGAGCAUAUCUGUCGUUUUCUCCUUUUUUCAUUCUCUCUUUCACUCUUCCCAGUCCUUGUCACUCUCGCUGGAUGUGUUUAUCACGGAGGCUACGACCGUCGUAAUUGACACGCCUACGUGCUCUCCGAAUCGAGGAAGAACGCAGUGUGUGGAGGAACUUGAACGUUGGUCUGCUCUCACUCUUCACAACAUGCGGAUAUGCGAUAAGAGGAAGUGCUUAGUUCUACCACUCGCACAUCGUCAUCAUCUCCUUUUUCUCGUUGGACAGCUUCUCUCCAAGCCCCGAGAAUGACGUUGCAGAGAGAUGAAAAAAAAACGAGUUCUCGUUUGCCGUUCACGUCGCACUGCUCUCUCGUUGACUUGAAUUCUCCACGGGAUUGAAGAAUGGCGUGAAAAUGUUUUGCUAUUUUUAAUUAAAUCUUGCUAUAAUGGAAUGUGACAAAGAGGAAGUGAAACGACGCUGCGAUUCGGAAUGUAACGGAUUCAAAUUACGUUUGUUCAAAUAUGUCAAUCAAUCGCCUUGUUCCAAUGCUCCAAGAAAUUUUUGCCUACCAAGUAAAAUGCUGGGUGAUCGAAAUGAACGGUUAUUCAAUCCGUGUUUAGAUAAAAUAAGAAAAGCAAAGCUUAUUAAGCAACAAAUACUUAGCUCCGCAGGUCGCAUCGGAUCCCGUGCGAUUCGAAAAUUGAAUCACUUUACUAUGGAGUUUGAUUUUUCGAGCGUCCUUCACCACGCACCUGGACGAGUCUCGGAUUUCACUGAUCAGCAAUUUCAAUUCAAUCACAAAGAAACAUAUCACCGCGUAGUAAGUUUCAUUCCUGAUACGAAUAGACGUGCGACUUGGAGCCCCGGAACGAAUUCCCUACGAUUGAGCUGCCGAGCCCCGAACACUUUUCUGGAAGAAAUUGCAACGUUUUUGUCACAUUUCUGGUCGCAAAGUUAUUUUUAUUUACACAAAAAUUUAACGUCCCCUUUUUGCCUUUGAUGCGGCCUAAAAAAAUUGCGUAAUAUCGAACAAUCGGGCGAUCGAAUCGAAAAGCAAUCUUCGUUACUGGCGGGGGGGGGGGACAGAAAAUGUGUAAAGAGUAAUCAAGUUUCAUUAAAAUGUGAAAUAAUCUAUUUUCAUUGGACAAGAAUGUAAAAUGCACCAAAGUGUGAAUCUCAUUCCCAUCGAAAGUGUCGAGCUGUCAACAUACUUUGUUUAUGAAUCAUUCGUUGUGCCUUUGUAAAAUUAUAUUUGCCAGUAUCACGUAUUGUAAACGCGAGAAAUGAAGGAACGUGAGAAAUCGUGAAAAACUGUUAGAGACGCACGUUAUUUCUAGGAAGUCGUAUUGGUACCUUUGCAAAUCGGACGAAAAAAAAGAAACGUACCGUUGAAAGUAAAUGGAGAGACAGAAACGCAGACGCUUUCGUGUAUACGUAUAGUUGUACAGUCGAAUCCCCUCACAAGUCUGUCCGCUACAAGCCUCUGUCCCGUUUUCGACGCGGAGAGCUUCCCCCACUCUGAAACGUUUUCGAGGCUUGCGCCCAACUGUGUCUUACAAGCCCGAAGCAAAUUUCUAACUUCAAAUCGAUUUGUACGAUUAUUUAUAUUAUAUUUAUCAAUUCUAGUAUUAUCUAGAGACGCGGCAGUGUCUUGGCGCCAAGUAUUAAAAAUAAAUUUUGUAAGCAGAGCGAGUCAAGACGGGCCGUGUAUCUUUACUCGAGAUUGGUCGAUUUCCCGUGACUCGUGAAGCUGAAGUGGGCGCCAUUUGUUGGAAAUUUGUCGGAUGAAAAAAAUAACAGUGGCACAUGAUAAUGUGAUGUAUGCGCUUCGUAUGAUGAAAAAAUUUCUAUAGAUAUAAAAUAACUUGGCGUUUAUGGCUUGUUGUAAAUUCGAAGGCAUGCUGUAGUGGGAGAGCUGUUAAAUUUCCUCUACAGCCCCUAAACAGGCUUAUAAAGGGAUUGGACUGUAGCCAUGUUUAUUACUGCGGUGUAGUAGAAUUGACCAGGUGGCUAGCGAAUUCCUUUUUCGAAACUCGCGGUCGACUGUCCACUGCGAGUGUUCUUUUGUUCAUUGGUGAAAAAGGCCUUGAUCCUCGAUAUGUGUGUACGAGAAAAAUGUAAUACGUUUAUUUACAGUUAAGUUGGUAAAAAUAAUCUCUCGUUAUCACAAAUGCCGUUCGAUAACGAUUGAUUUUUCUUUAAAAUAUCAUUUCGAAAAAAAAUUAACGUGCGUUAGAAAAUAUGAGAAAAAGUGGUGUUUCAAAUAUGCUAAAUAUAAAGCAAGUGCGUUGACACUUGGCGAAGGUCGCGUGCGAAUUUUCUACGCUUAAAAAGCACAAGCAGCGUUGAAAUUCGAUUCUGUUCUCGCUCUUUCACGACCUGCCUUCCAUAACACUUAGUCAAAGAGAAAAGAGAGAGAGAGACGAAUAUGUCGUUGGCUCAUCGCUUAUUUCUCUACUUCUUCUGCCACCUCGUUCGUCUCCACCCGCGCGCACACACACAUAUAAUAAAAUUGCGUCGCGUCCUAUGAGCGAACGCGUGAUCAGAUUGACCGAAGAAGAAUCGUUAGAAUAGAUGCUCCGGGGAUAUGGCGUUCGAUGAAACUCGGUAUCCCCUGGCCAGUAUUUUUCAGAAAUAUUUCAUUUUCUUUCAACCGAUACCUAUUAUAAUAGACCGUUUAGGUAUAUUCAAUCCUUAAGGAGGGUGGAUCGCGACGAUACAAUGUUGCCAUGCUAAACCGUGUUAGAAAUAUGAAGAAUUU